AACGUAGGACGCAAGCGUUAUCCGGAGUUACUGGGCGUAAAGCGCGGGCAGGCGGUCUUGCCGGUCUGAUGUGAAAUCUCCUCGCUCAACGGGGAGCAGCCAUUGGAAACUACAAGACUGGAGUCUGGCAGAGGUAGGCGGAAUUCCGGGUGGAGUGGUGAAAUGCGUAGAGAUCCGGAGGAACACCAGAGGCGAAGGCGGCCUACUGGGCCAGUACUGACGCUGAGCCGCGAAAGCCAGGGGAGCGAACGGG
rnacentral:rRNA from 1 species